rnacentral:lncRNA from 1 species
UCUGUCCGUAUUUACAGCAUCCAAUUUUACAAGCAGUUAUUGGAUCACUGUAUGCAAAGCACUGGCUAGGAGCUGCUGGAGGUAUAGGUUUCAUGAAACUAGGUUUCAUGAAACCUGGUUCUUGGCCAGAAUAGUUAAGUCUAGUUGAUGAAUGUGAGAGGAUCAGGCCAGGUAGUAUAGAGCUGACAAUUAAAUACGGAGAGAUAUAGUACCUCUUGAGAAGUUUCCACAUAGACAAUGUGUUUCCUCCAAUUUUAUCAGGUUCUUCCCAGGUCCUGCUGUUGUCUUUCACUUGGUCUCUCUUCAUUACCCUCCUUGGUCACCUAGACUAUAAACCCUGAGUCCAGGGACACUGUCAACAGAACCUAACAUGGUCUUACACAUUGUAGGUAGUCAGUGUAUAUUUGAUGAAUGAUUGACACAAACCUGAUAAUAGUCUUGAAAUCUUCAAUUUCUCCUCUGCUUCUAGAAUAAAAAUCAGACUGCCCCUUUGUCUUCAAGACCUUCUAGGUUAUGUCACAGCCAACUUCACUUCCUUUUUCCCCUUUCACUACCUUGAAGGCCAGUUUAGCCAGUGAUUCACAGUUCUUGCCCGGGGCCACUUGUAUUCUCCCACCUCCGUUCCAGGAAAUUCUCUUGGCGUCUCCUAAUGCUAGGACUCAUCCAAGUUUAUAGGAUCGGUGAGAAGGCAUCGGUAGCCAGUUGCUCCCUCCCGCUAAGCCCUCCCAGACACCCCAAUAAACCCCUAGCCCGCCUGGCCGGCCGGCCCCCUUCAAGAACAGGGCUGAAUCCUAGAACUUCCUCCCAGAGUCCUA